rnacentral:lncRNA from 1 species
UUCACGAGUGGAAGGAUUCUAAAAUUGGAAAAAUGAUCUGUAACUCGCUUGGGUAGCGGUUGCAAAACCAAUUGUAGAUUUUUUUAUUAGUUUUUCAGUUUGGAGAGUAGUUUUACUACUAAAAUUGUUUUCUAAGACUCCUAAGAUCUUAAUCUAGUUAUUGGCUAUUUGAAGUUGAAGAAGAAUUAAAGACAGAAAAGUAAUUAGAAAAGAAACUAGAUUAGUUACUUGGUUUGUGUGUUCAGGUACAACAUAAGGAAUUCUUCGGACUGAAGCUUGCUAUGAUUUUCUGGGUUCUU